GACACUACUGGACCACUGUUGAAAAAUAUUUUGCGCAAAUAAGAAGAUAUUCCACAACUUGCGAUAUAAUUCACGACAUGUCUCUGAUAACUACAUUUUACUGGAUCGUACUUAACGGUUGCAUUUUCCCAUCUGCCCAUCGGAUGCGGGUUGCUAUACCAUGUGCUACCCAAUGCUGGCAUGUUGUGACGUUUCUAUCAACGUGAAUUGCCGGAUUGAGCAAAAUUGUAUGCAAAACUGCUCCCCGGACUCUAACCCUUACACAUAAAUCGAACAGGAAGAAACUUCUGAAAAGUUAAAAAUUCUAAAAUUGUACAUUUUCAUCGUAUCUAAAUCUGAUUGAAAUUGUGGAUAUGUACUUUCGAAGUAAAUAUAAUUAUGUAUAAGAAUAUGUAUGGACAGUAUCAGUAUAUAAUAUGUAUAAGAUUAUGUACAUUAUGAGAUAAAUUUGGUCUUGAAUUACUUUUUGGUCAGUUUAUAAGAUAAACCGAAAUAAAUUUUAGUUGGGUGCAUAAAUAUCAAUAUCUAAUCAAUUAACUCUAUAAUAUAUGUACAUAUUGUCAACGAUUUUUUAUAGAACACUUAUGUAUGUAUAAAACUACAUAAUUAAGUUAUGAAAUUAGGAUUUUUUGCGCACUUCUUCCUCUUAAGUUGCAUAAAAAUCAAACAUAUUCUGAACAUGAGUAGAGCUCAAUGGGUACAUACAUUUUAGUGUAUACAAUCCUUGUUAAGUACAUAAAUCUGAAUUAAAAUUUACAGAUAACAAAUUGUACCGUAUCAGUUAUAAGUUCGUCGAUCUGAUAUUACUAAUUGGGAACUGGGAUGGGUAAAAUAAUAAAAUUUCCAACAUGUCACGCCACACUUGAAUUAAACAAUCGCUCAACACACGUGUAAUGAAGUUAUAACAGAUUUAAUUACGUUUCCGUGUAUUCUUUAUCAGACUGGUAAUUGCGAACUUUAAUCUUACAUUAUGGCAUGGGUGUAGCCCCAUGGUUGAGUCUGGUCCAAUAUAAAGGUUUGCACCAUCAGGAAGACCAAGUUAGCAGAUUGAGUUGAUUUACAUUCUUUAACCGUUUCAAAAAGUCGUAAAAAAAUGUCGGUAAAAAUUCAGGUAUUUCUUGCAGCAAUAAUUUGCUCAGUGUAUUUCGUCAUGUUAAUCAACGCCGCAUCCGUGUCUAUUGAAGCUGACGAGCUGGUUAGGUUAGGUUAAGGAAGACCAGCAAUCAUGCAGUCCAAGGACGGUACCCUGUGUUCCAGUCACGAACGUGUCGCAUUGUUGCGAUUUAUGUACUUUUACGAUAUUUGGUUUCAGUUGCGCUUUAAACUAGUAAACUGAUUUGGUGAUGAAUAAAGUGCAAAUAGUAAAUUCCAGA